AGACUGGUAGCUCAGUGGAUAGAACACCAUAGUACUACUACUGGAGGUUGCAGGUUCAAUCUCUAUUUAGUCCA